UGCUGGCUGCUGCUGUAGGACGUUCAUCAGCACAGAUGACCAGGGCUCACACCAGCGUUCCUGCAAGCCAACGAAGUGCUCAGACAAAUUGACACGACAAACUGAAAAGCAGAAGUUAGUGUUCAAAGAAGUUCAAGAGUAAACAUUUAGUCAAUUCGUCUGUCGGAUGGAGAGAGAUUCAGUGCACCAGAGUCCAG
rnacentral:lncRNA from 1 species